UACGUAGGGUGCAAGCGUUAAUCGGAAUUACUGGGCGUAAAGCGUGCGCAGGCGGCUUUGCAAGACAGAUGUGAAAUCCCCGGGCUUAACCUGGGAACUGCAUUUGUGACUGCAUGGCUGGAGUGCGGCAGAGGGGGAUAGAAUUCCGCGUGUAGCAGUGAAAUGCGUAGAUAUGCGGAGGAACACCGAUGGCGAAGGCAGCCUUCUGGGCCAACACUGACGCUCAUGCACGAAAGCGUGGGGAGCAAACAGG
rnacentral:rRNA from 1 species